AUGCCGCGUGCGGGAGGAAGGCCUUCGGGUUGUAAACCGCUGUCGGGAGUUAAGAAAUGCGAGGAUGUUAAUAGCGUUCUUGCUUGACUAAGGCUCCGGAGGAAGCCACGGCUAACUCUGUGCCAGCAGCCGCGGUAAUACAGAGGCGGCAAGCGUUGCUCGGAAUUAUUGGGCGUAAAGAGCGCGUAGGCGGCUGUGUAAGUCGGUUGUGAAAGCCUUCCGCUCAACGGAAGAACGGCAUCCGAUACUGCAUGGCUUGAGUGUGGGAGGGGAGAGUGGAACUUCUGGUGGAGCGGUGAAAUGCGUAGAUAUCAGAAGGAACACCGGCGGCGAAGGCGACACUCUGGUCCAUAACUGACGCUGAGUGUGCGAAAGCUAGGGGAGCAAACGGGAUUAGAUACCCCGGUAGUCCUAGCCGUAAACGAU
rnacentral:rRNA from 1 species